AGGAUGAACGUUGGCAGUGUGCCUAAGACAUGCAAGUCGAACGAAGCGCUUUAGUUUGAUUUCUUCGGAAUGAAGACUUUAGUGACUGAGUGGCGAACGGGUGAGUAACACGUGGAUGACCUACCCUGAAGUGGGGGAUAACCUUGGGAAACCAGGACUAAUCCCGCAUGCGCUUACUGGCUAUGGUUGGUAAGGAAAGAUUUAUCGCUUUAGGAUGGGUCCGCGGGCCAUCAGCUAGUUGGUGAGGUAAAGGCUCACCAAGGCAACGACGGCUAGCCGGCCUGAGAGGGUGAACGGCCACAGGGGUACUGAGACACGGACCCCACUCCUACGGGAGGCAGCAGUUAGGAAUCUUCCACAAUGGGCGCAAGCCUGAUGGAGCGACACUGCGUGAGGGAAGAAGGCUUUCGGGUUGUAAACCUCUAAAAGUAGGACGAUAAUGACGGUACUACUUGAGAAGCACCGGCUAACUCCGUGCCAGCAGCCGCGGUAAUACGGAGGGUGCAAACGUUAUCCGGAAUCACUGGGCGUAAAGGGCACGCAGGCGGUUAGUUAAGUCCGAUGUUAAAGCGUGGGGCUCAACCCCAUACGGGCGUUGGAUACUGGCUAACUAGACUCUUGGAGAGGUAAGUAGAAUUACCAGUGUAGCGGUGGAAUGCGUAGAUACUGGUAGGAAUACCAAUAGCGAAGGCAGCUUACUAGACAAUGAGUGACGCUGAGGCGCGAAAGUGUGGGGAGCGAACCGGAUUAGAUACCCGGGUAGUCCACACCCUAAACGAUGCAUACUUGGUGUUGGUGCGCAGGCAUCAGCGCCGGAGCAAACGCGUUAAGUAU
rnacentral:rRNA from 1 species